UACGGGGGGAGCAAGCGUUGUUCGGAUUUACUGGGCGUAAAGGGCGCGUAGGCGGCCAGCACAAGUCAGUUGUGAAAUCUCCGGGCUUAACUCGGAAAGGUCAACUGAUACUGUGUGGCUAGAGUGCAGAAGGGGCAACUGGAAUUCUCGGUGUAGCGGUGAAAUGCGUAGAUAUCGAGAGGAACACCUGCGGCGAAGGCGGGUUGCUGGGCUGACACUGACGCUGAUGCGCGAAAGCGUGGGGAGCAAACAGG
rnacentral:rRNA from 1 species